rnacentral:rRNA from 1 species
UAUGACGACUCUCGGCAACGGAUAUCUCGGCUCUCGCAUCGAUGAAGAACGCAGCGAAAUGCGAUACUUGGUGUGAAUUGCAGAAUCCCGUGAACCAUCGAGUCUUUGAACGCAAGUUGCGCCCAAAGCCAUUCGGUCGAGGGCACGUCUUCCUGGGCGUCACACAUC